rnacentral:rRNA from 1 species
CUCAGGACGAACGCUGGCGGCGUGCCUAAUACAUGCAAGUCGAGCGGACAGAUGGGAGCUUGCUCCCUGAUGUUAGCGGCGGACGGGUGAGUAACACGUGGGUAACCUGCCUGUAAGACUGGGAUAACUCCGGGAAACCGGGGCUAAUACCGGAUGCUUGUUUGAACCGCAUGGUUCAGACAUAAAAGGUGGCUUCGGCUACCACUUACAGAUGGACCCGCGGCGCAUUAGCUAGUUGGUGAGGUAACGGCUCACCAAGGCGACGAUGCGUAGCCGACCUGAGAGGGUGAUCGGCCACACUGGGACUGAGACACGGCCCAGACUCCUACGGGAGGCAGCAGUAGGGAAUCUUCCGCAAUGGACGAAAGUCUGACGGAGCAACGCCGCGUGAGUGAUGAAGGUUUUCGGAUCGUAAAGCUCUGUUGUUAGGGAAGAACAAGUGCCGUUCAAAUAGGGCGGCACCUUGACGGUACCUAACCAGAAAGCCACGGCUAACUACGUGCCAGCAGCCGCGGUAAUACGUAGGUGGCAAGCGUUGUCCGGAAUUAUUGGGCGUAAAGGGCUCGCAGGCGGUUUCUUAAGUCUGAUGUGAAAGCCCCCGGCUCAACCGGGGAGGGUCAUUGGAAACUGGGGAACUUGAGUGCAGAAGAGGAGAGUGGAAUUCCACGUGUAGCGGUGAAAUGCGUAGAGAUGUGGAGGAACACCAGUGGCGAAGGCGACUCUCUGGUCUGUAACUGACGCUGAGGAGCGAAAGCGUGGGGAGCGAACAGGAUUAGAUACCCUGGUAGUCCACGCCGUAAACGAUGAGUGCUAAGUGUUAGGGGGUUUCCGCCCCUUAGUGCUGCAGCUAACGCAUUAAGCACUCCGCCUGGGGAGUACGGUCGCAAGACUGAAACUCAAAGGAAUUGACGGGGGCCCGCACAAGCGGUGGAGCAUGUGGUUUAAUUCGAAGCAACGCGAAGAACCUUACCAGGUCUUGACAUCCUCUGACAAUCCUAGAGAUAGGACGUCCCCUUCGGGGGCAGAGUGACAGGUGGUGCAUGGUUGUCGUCAGCUCGUGUCGUGAGAUGUUGGGUUAAGUCCCGCAACGAGCGCAACCCUUGAUCUUAGUUGCCAGCAUUCAGUUGGGCACUCUAAGGUGACUGCCGGUGACAAACCGGAGGAAGGUGGGGAUGACGUCAAAUCAUCAUGCCCCUUAUGACCUGGGCUACACACGUGCUACAAUGGGCAGAACAAAGGGCAGCGAAACCGCGAGGUUAAGCCAAUCCCACAAAUCUGUUCUCAGUUCGGAUCGCAGUCUGCAACUCGACUGCGUGAAGCUGGAAUCGCUAGUAAUCGCGGAUCAGCAUGCCG